rnacentral:rRNA from 1 species
GAUGAACGCUGACAGAAUGCUUAACACAUGCAAGUCAACUUGAACUUCGGUUUGGGUGGCGGACGGGUGAGUAACGCGUAAAGAACUUGCCUCACAGAUAGGGACAACAUUUGGAAACGAAUGCUAAUACCUGAUAUUAUGAUUAUAUGGCAUCGUAUAAUUAUGAAAGCUAUAUGCGCUGUGAGAGAGCUUUGCGUCCCAUUAGCUAGUUGGAGAGGUAACGGCUCACCAAGGCGAUGAUGGGUAGCCGGCCUGAGAGGGUGAUCGGCCACAAGGGGACUGAGACACGGCCCUUACUCCUACGGGAGGCGGCAGUGGGGAAUAUUGGACAAUGGACCAAGAGUCUGAUCCAGCAAUUCUGUGUGCACGAUGAAGUUUUUCGGAAUGUAAAGUGCUUUCAGUUGGGAAGAAAAAAAUGACGGUACCAACAGAAGAAGUGACGGCUAAAUACGUG